rnacentral:rRNA from 1 species
GACGAACGCUGGCGGCGUGCUUAACACAUGCAAGUCGAACGGUAAGGCCCUUCGGGGUACACGAGUGGCGAACGGGUGAGUAACACGUGGGUGAUCUGCCCUGCACUUCGGGAUAAGCCUGGGAAACUGGGUCUAAUACCGGAUAGGACCACUGCCUGCAUGGGUGGUGGUGGAAAGCUUUUGCGGUGUGGGAUAGGCCCGCGGCCUAUCAGCUUGUUGGUGGGGUGAUGGCCUACCAAGGCGACGACGGGUAGCCGGCCUGAGAGGGUGACAGGCCACACUGGGACUGAGAUACGGCCCAGACUCCUACGGGAGGCAGCAGUGGGGAAUAUUGCACAAUGGGCGCAAGCCUGAUGCAGCGACGCCGCGUGAGGGAUGACGGCCUUCGGGUUGUAAACCUCUUUCAGCACCGACGAAGCGCAAGUGACGGUAGGUGCAGAAGAAGGACCGGCCAACUACGUGCCAGCAGCCGCCGUAA